rnacentral:rRNA from 1 species
UACGAAGGGGGCUAGCGUUGCUCGGAAUCACUGGGCGUAAAGCGCACGUAGGCGGAUUUUUAAGUCAGGGGUGAAAUCCUGGAGCUCAACUCCAGAACUGCCUUUGAUACUGGGAAUCUCGAGUCCGGAAGAGGUGAGUGGAACUGCGAGUGUAGAGGUGAAAUUCGUAGAUAUUCGCAAGAACACCAGUGGCGAAGGCGGCUCACUGGUCCGGUACUGACGCUGAGGUGCGAAAGCGUGGGGAGCAAACAGGG